rnacentral:tRNA from 1 species
AGUCCUGGGGUGUUACCACGUGAGAUUGCAAAUCUUAAGAAGUAGGCUAAAUCCCUACCGGGGCUU